CGCCUGUUUAUCAAAAACAUUGUUUGUUGUUAUAAAUUUAUAGCAGAUAUAUCUGCCCAGUGAGUUUUCAACGGCCGCGGUAACCUGACCGUGCUAAGGUAGCACAAUCACGUGCCUCUUAAUUAGAGGAUAGUAUGAAUGAAUGAACAGGGGUAUAUUUUCUUACCUAUGGACCUAAAAAUUUACCUUCAGGCGCUAAGGCCUGGAUAAAUAGAAAAGACAAGAAGACCCUUCAAGCUUGAGUGUCUGCUUCUAUUAAUAAGAAGUACGUCACUUUAGUUGGGGCGACAAUGAGGAGUAAACACUCAUUAAUACUAGGUAAACUUACCUAUGAAUAUAGCUAAACACCAAAGAGUAAGCUACUGUAGGGAUAACAGUCUAGUCCUCUUUCAGAGAACAUAUUCACAGGAGGGUUCGGCACCUCGAUGUUGGCUUAGGAGUACCCCAUGGAGCAGGGCCUAUGGAGGUGGGUUUGUUNCACCUUUAUAUUCCUNACGUGAUCUGAGUUCAGACCGGGCCGAUGGUGCAGCCGCUAUUAAAGGUUCGUUUGUUCACGAUUAAAGUCCUACGUGAUCUGAGUUC
rnacentral:rRNA from 1 species